CAAGGCAUAAAGGAGCUAACGAAGGAGCCGGCGAGGAGAGAGCACUGAAGCCCAAGAAGGAGCCUAUUUGCUGGAUUGUCACCAUCUUUUGCCCUUGAGCCGCUGGAACCACAUCUUGUAAGAUUUUGCAAAAAGUGCAAGAUUUGUGUGCUGCAGAGAGCGGUGUCAGUGAGCAGCUGCUUCUCCUUCAGCAUGAGUUGUUCAGGGUAUAGACUUCACGCGCUGCUGGCUGGGCAACACCAAACUGCGAAGCUGAGGCGCGGAACAGCGGGGACCUGGACUGCCAAAUACAAAUGUCCUGGUUUAAUUUGCAAGUGUAUGUUUGAAAACAAAACAAGGGAUUAAAGCAGAAGUUUUUACAAAAAAUUCUUCGGAAGAUAUUAUGAAAAUAUGUAUUGUUACCUGGUAAUCUUCCGACUGCUUCUAAUUUAGUAGAACACAUUAACUCCUCUUGUAAGUCGACUGCAAUCGAUGGAGCUGUCUUAACAAUGAGUUAGAGUUGCCUUGCAGAGUGGAUGCCGUUAGCCCUUUCUGAGCAUAGUCCCUCUGGUUUCUGAUCAAUCAGCUGAAUUUAUUUUUCACAUUUCUGAGAGUGUUAGAAAUAUAGAUUGGAACGGCAGCUGCACGUAUUACCUUGGUUCCAAACUGUCAUCAAACACUAAGUUGACCUAAUAAAAAUCACAAGGAUGUUUCCAGGGGAUGGUUUGCUUUAGGUGAGGAACCCACGUUCUUUCUUUCUGAAACUUUUGAAUAAAGUUUUUCCUCUAUGCAAAUAUUAUAAAUGUGACGUCCAGGUAAUAAAGUGAAAACUGGCUUUUAGAGCCGAAAAAUUGACAUCUCUUUCUCCACACUCUUCAGAAAAUGACAGAAUGAAGAAAACCCUUCUCAGCUAAAACAUUUUUUCUUCUAAGUUUUGUACAGCUUCUGUAAUGUGCCUGCAGGCAGCUGUUCAGAGGGAGCCAGGAAAGCAACCGCUGUCUGUAUUGGCUGAAUUAGGGCUGAACUGCUGACAUGGAUGGCAAUGACUUGGCCUGGAAAUAAAAGCGAAGAAGGUAGCAGGGAGGUGAUCCAGAUUACCAUUCAAUUGUAAGUCUUCCCUGUAUCCGCAUCCCUUUCGUCCAGUAGAUUGGAAGUGUUGGAACAUCCAUGGCUGGUUGGAGCUUUGAGCAAUCUGGUGUAGCGGGAGGUGUCCCUGCCCAUGGCAGGGGGUUUGGAAAUAGAUGAUCUUUAAGGUCUCUUCUAACCCGAACCAUUCUAUGAUUCUAUGGUUCUAUGGGUUCUUGCAGAUCAUGGAAAAAUAACCCUGCGGGCUCUGCCUCUGGCUGCCCCCACAUCUGGCAGCUCUAGAUCUGGUCUAAGCCCACAGGCGGGCUCACAGCUCGAACUUGCCCCCGGAGCUGGUGCCAUUUUUAGUUUUACAGGGAAAGGUACACUGUGAAAGAUGGUGGGUUUGGCUCCCUGAGGGCCCCUGAGAAAAGGAGCUCUAAAAAACAGAAUGAUGCACCUCUUGAAAGACCAGAUGUCCUAGACUAAAGGCAACAGAGACAGUGAUUUCAUGAGAGGGUUGGAGUCUCAAGCAAAUCUGAAAAUAUGGCCCUUAAAUAUUUAGCUGUCUCUUUGGGAACUGACUUCCUUUGACAACCUGCAUCCAUGUCGUCAUCAUGCUUGAUAUGCUAUAAAUAAAUCCGUGAUGUUUGAUGCCAAUCAACUAAUACCAGCUCCUUAACACA